AUGAGGUUGCCUGAUAGGUUUUCAAGUGAUUACAUUUCAGGGGUGAAUGCAUUCAUUGAUUUUGCUUGUCAACAUAACAGCGGCAAUGAUAAGAUGCGUUGCCCUUGUGAAACUUGUAUGAAUAUAAGUCAGCAGAGUGUCAGUCAAGUUCGAACCCAUUUGUUAUUGUAUGGUAUACAAACUUCAUACACAAAAUGGAUAUUCCAUGGAGAACAAGUUAGCAAUGAUGAAGACCAAGUUGAUGAGUCACUUGAAAAUGAGGAAGAUCUUGAUGAUUUUGAUGGAUUUGAUAUGGUCCAAGAUCUGCUAGGAGAUAUCCAUAGAGCCACGGUUGGGGUUGACGAGCAAGAGAACCAUAAUCCUGCUGGAGGUAGCAUUCCGGAGCCCAAUGAGUCAUCGACCAGAUUUGACGGCUUGCUGAGAAGUGCACAACGUGAGCUAUACCCGGGCUGCAAAGGCCACUCGGUGCUAUCCUUUGUUUUAAAGCUGGUACACCUCAAAGAUCUUAACCAUUGGAGCAACAAAUCUUUUGACAUGUUACUCAAGCUUCAAAAGGAGGCUUUGCCAGCUGGUAACUCGCUUCCAGCCACGUACUAUGAAGCAAAGAAGAUGUUGAGAGAUCUAGGGCUAGGUUAUGAAAGUAUUGAUGCUUGCAAAAAUGAUUGUGUUCUAUUCUGGAAGGAGCAUGAGGACAAGGAUGAGUGCCCAGUUUGUAAGGAAUCGAGGUGGAAGACACAGAAGGGCAAGGGGAAGCAAGUACCUCAGAAAGUGUUGCGCUACUUUCCCUUAAUCCCUAGAUUACAACGGCUGUUCAUGAACAAGGAAAUAGCUUCAGAUUUGCGUUAUCAUAGGGAUAAGAGAGUUGUCGAACCAAAUGUGUUGAGGGGUCCUCCGGAUGGCGAUGCUUGGAAACAUAUGGAUAAGAAAUAUCCCUGGCUGGAAGAAGACCCUCGCCAUUUGCGGCUCGGGGUUGGCACCGAUGGUUUCAACCCAUUUGGAAUUAUGAGUAGCUCAUAUAGUGUGUGGCCUGUCAUUGUAGUUGUGUAUAACUUGCCUCCAUGGAGAAGCAUGAAAGAGCCCUUCCUGCUCAUGACAUUAUUGAUCCCUGGGAAGAAGUCACCGGGAAGGGACAUUGAUGUGUAUUUGAGGCCAUUGGUUGAAGAACUAAAGCAAUUAUUUAAUCCAGGAGUUGUUACUUUUGACGCUGUUGAAGGAGGUACUUUCAAUAUGCGUGCAAUAUUGCUAUGGACUAUCCACGACCUUCCAGCACUAGGUUCAGUAUUUGGGUAUUCUACAAUGGGCUACAAGGCAUGCCCUGUUUGCCUAGAUGGAACCUAUUCGCAACCACUUCGAAGCAAAAUUGGUUUCUUAGGCCAUAGGAGGUACUUGCCUAUUCGCCAUAGGUGGCGCAAAAGUAAGGCCUUCAAUGGUAAGAAUGAGAAAGCGUUGCCACCAAAACAACUAUCUGGGAAAGACAUUUUUGAAUUGUUGCAGAAGUUAGACCAUCUCCAGGGCUUCAAAUACGGAAAACACCCUGGAAAUAAGAAAAGAAAGGCAUCUUCAAAGGACAGGCCAGGGAAAAAUUUCACAAAGAUGAGCAUCUUGUUUGAGCUACCAUAUUGGAAGGAUCUGAAAUUGCCACACAAUCUUGAUGUCAUGCACAUUGAAAAGAACAUUUGUGAGAGCUUAUUCGGGACUUUAUUAAACAUAGAUGGCAAGUCCAAGGACACACUUAAGGCCCGCAAGGACUUAGAAGACAUGAAUAUCAGAGAAGAUCUACACUUGAAUGAUACGGGAAGUAGCGUAGAAAAGCAUCAUGCAUGGUACACAUUAACCAGAGAUGAGAAACUUGAGUUUCUGCAAUUCCUAGAAUCUAUUUGCUUCCCAGAUGGAUUUGCUGCAAAUAUAUCAAAAGGUAUAAGUAAAGAUGGGAAAAUAACUGGGUUGAAGACACACGACUACCAUAUUCUUCUUCAGAGAAUACUCCCGAUUGGAAUGCGAGGAUUUCUGCAUAAAGAUAUAUGUGAUGCACUUCUGCAGCUUGGUAGUUUUUUUCGCCAAUUAUGCUCCAAGACAUUGAAGCUGGAUAUCUUGGAUAAGUUGGAACAACAAAUAGUAAUUGUGUUGUGCAAACUAGAAAUGAUUCUCCCACCUGCAUUCUUUGAUAUCAGCGUGCACUUAGCAGUGCAUCUACCACAACAAGCAAGGCUUGGAGGUCCUGUACAAUACAGAUGGAUGUUCUUCGUUGAAAGGUUCCUUGGUACUUUGAAAGGCAUGGUGAGCAAUAGGGCACACCCAGAGGGUUCAAUUGCUGAAGCUUAUGUUAUGAAGGAGUGCUCAACAUUCUGCUCCAUGUAUCUACAUGGAAUUGAGACAAGGUUCAAUAGACAAGAGCGGAACUUUGAUGGGGAGAGACAACCACUUGAUCGUUUCUCGGUAUUCUCAACUAGUUUCCGUGCUUUUGGCCAUAGGGAUGACCUUAUGUUAACACAAGAUCAGUAUGAUUCUUUGUCUUGGUAUGUGCUAAAUAAUUGCGAGGAACUACAAGAAUACCUAUAUGAGCAUGAGGAUGCCCUACUGGUUGAAGGUGCAGAUAAUAUUGAAAAUAGGCAACGUGAACAGUUUGGUUCAUGGCUGCGCCAAAGAGUGAUCAAUCUGCGCAACCAAGGAGCAUCCCUAGUGUCUGACUGUUUGUAUGCAUUGGCAAUUGGACCGCAUAAGAGAGUACACAGAUUCUCAGGAUGCAUUGCUGGUGGUGUUAGAUUCUUGACAAAGGAGCGUGAAGAGGGUCGUAAAAGUCAGAACAGUGGUGUAUGCACAGAGGGACAACAUAAGGGGCAAAAUAUCACAUAUUAUGGUAUUCUUAAAAAUAUAUAUGUCCUGGAUUACCCCAAUGAUCGACAUGUUGCUUUAUUUGAGUGUGAAUGGUAUGAUUUAGAGAGUAACAAGCCUGUGAGGAUCGAUGACGACUUUGUUAGUGUUAAUACAGGAAGCAAGUGGUACCAAAAUGACUCCUUUGUACUAGCUAGUCAAGUGAGCCAAGUCUUCUAUGUACGUGAUACAAAAUUGAAGGGAGAUUGGCUAGUUGUGCAGAAGGCUCCGCAUCGCCAUCUUUUUGAUCCAGAGGUUUGA
rnacentral:rRNA from 1 species